rnacentral:rRNA from 1 species
ACAGUGAACGCGAGCAUCUGUGGCCAAGUUUUUAAGGGCGCACGGUGGAUGCCUUGGCACCAGGAACCGAUGAAGGACGUGGGAGGCCGCGAUAGGCCCCGGGGAGCUGUCAACCGAGCUUUGAUCCGGGGGUGUCCGAAUGGGGAAACCCGGCAGUCGUCAUGGGCUGUCACCCGUACCUGAAUAUAUAGGGUAUGUGGAGGGAACGCGGGGAAGUGAAACAUCUCAGUACCCGCAGGAAGAGAAAACAACCGUGAUUCCGGGAGUAGUGGCGAGCGAAACUGGAUGAGGCUAAACCAGUCAUGUGU